rnacentral:rRNA from 1 species
GAUGAACGCUGGCGGCGUGCCUAAUACAUGCAAGUCGAGCGAACAGACGAGGAGCUUGCUCCUCUGACGUUAGCGGCGAACGGGUGAGUAACACGUGGAUAACCUACCUAUAAGACUGGGAUAACUUCGGGAAACCGGAGCUAAUACCGGAUAAUAUAUUGAACCGCAUGGUUCAAUAGUGAAAGACGGUUUUGCUGUCACUUAUAGAUGGAUCCGCGCCGCAUUAGCUAGUUGGUAAGGUAACGGCUUACCAAGGCGACGAUGCGUAGCCGACCUGAGAGGGUGAUCGGCCACACUGGAACUGAGACACGGCCCAGACUCCUACGGGAGGCAGCAGUAGGGAAUCUUCCGCAAUGGGCGAAAGCCUGACGGAGCAACGCCGCGUGAGUGAUGAAGGUCUUCGGAUCGUAAAACUCUGUUAUUAGGGAAGAACAAAUGUGUAAGUAACUAUGCACGUCUUGACGGUACCUAAUCAGAAAGCCACGGCUAACUACGUG